GACGUAGGGCGCGAGCGUUGUCCGGAAUUAUUGGGCGUAAAGAGCUCGUAGGCGGUGUGUCGCGUCGGCCGUGAAAACCUGCAGCUUAACUGUGGGCUUGCGGUCGAUACGGGCAUCACUGGAGUUCGGCAGGGGAGACUGGAAUUCCUGGUGUAGCGGUGAAAUGCGCAGAUAUCAGGAGGAACACCGGUGGCGAAGGCGGGUCUCUGGGCCGAUACUGACGCUGAGGAGCGAAAGCGUGGGGAGCGAACAGG
rnacentral:rRNA from 1 species